rnacentral:rRNA from 1 species
UGGGGAAUUUUGGACAAUGGGCGAAAGCCUGAUCCAGCAAUGCCGCGUGUGUGAAGAAGGCCCUUCGGGUUGUAAAGCACUUUUGUCCGGAAAGAAACCUUGGCUCUAAUACAGUCGGGGGAUGCGGUACCGGAAGAAUAAGCACCGGCUAACUACGUGCCAGCAGCCGCGGUAAUACGUAGGGUGCAAGCGUUAAUCGGAAUUACUGGGCGUAAAGCGUGCGCAGGCGGUUGCUAAGACCGAUGUGAAAUCCCCGGGCUCAACCUGGGAACUGCAUUGGUGACUGGCAGGCUAGAGUAUGGCAGAGGGGGGUAGAAUUCCACGUGUAGCAGUGAAAUGCGUAGAGAUGUGGAGGAAUACCGAUGGCGAAGGCAGCCCCCUGGGCCAAUACUGACGCUCAUGCACG